rnacentral:misc_RNA from 1 species
AGUGUUGGAUAACUGAUCGGGGGGAAUGUCCCCUAGAUUCAUUUUAAAGGUGCUCAUUUGAGCGUUUGUUUACAAAUGGGCAGUCGGUACAAAGUGGUCGAUCUGGAAGAAAAGGACAAAAAAUAUAUAUAUAUUCUGCAGGGACAACAUAUUUGUGUUCUUACUUGCUACGCAUGAUUAUCCUUAAUCAAGGCACUCACCUGCUCAGGAAACUGUUCUUUUUCCCGCAACUUGGCUGGAAACUGGGUAAUAGAUAAAGAUGGAAAGGAACUUGGGCGCAUGUCGAUUGGCUACACAAGAAUGGACGUGAAUUUUAUGGGCCAACGAUACAACUACACCUGUAAUCAAUUUGACUACAGUGAAGAAAAGUAUCUACUGAGGGCUACAAAUGGGAAUGGGAUGGCAUGCCUGUUAUUCACACAGUUCAGUGAUGGGGGCUCCACUCUUAUGAUGAUCCGUCUGCACAAAGAAAGAUUUCAGUUAUAAGGAAUAUAUAGCAGAUAAAAUUUUGUACAGGACGACAAUAAUUCAAUAUUGUUCCAAUUAAGGCUUCUUAUAUAGUGGCUUUUCCCACAAAAUCAGAGUGACCCACCACUAUGAAGAUAAGAAUUUCUUCAAGCCCCAACAAGUAGCGGGGUCUCCAACCAUGAACUCAGUGUGUAACAACUAUGACGAUGGACAAAUGCUGUUUAUUCACUCUGUGCCCUGAGUUGUCUUACAUUAUUGAUUCUUAAUUGUGUUUGAUAUAUUUUUAGAAUUAUUUGUUGUACAUAGACUAUAGAAAACACCUGUUUAUAUUUUGAAAUUUAGCCGACAAUAAAGUAUGGUUAAAUAUGUUUUAAAGACAAUAAAGAAAAUGAUUU